UACAGAGGUCUCAAGCGUUGUUCGGAUUUAUUGGGCGUAAAGGGCGCGUAGGCGGCGGGGUAAGUCGGGUGUGAAAUCUCAGGGCUCAACCCUGAAACUGCACUUGAUACUGCUCUGCUUGAGGACUGGAGAGGAGACUGGAAUUCACGGUGUAGCAGUUAAAUGCGUAGAGAUCAUGAGGAAGACCAGUGGCGAAGGCGGGCCUCUGGACAGUUCCUGACACUGAGACACGAAGGCCAGGGGAGCAAACGGG
rnacentral:rRNA from 1 species